rnacentral:lncRNA from 1 species
UGAAUCUCCGUCACACGUCUCAGACUUCUGCAGCAGGUGGAGGGUGAAAUGUCGAGCUUUGUGCUGCCGUGUAGAAGAAGAAGAAGAAGAAGAAGCAGAAGAAGCAGAAGAAGAAGAAGAAGAAGAAGAAGAAGAAGAAGAAGAAGAAGAAGAAGAAGAAGAAGAGACUGGACGUUCGUCAUUGUGUUUGCAGCCGUCCGUUGGCGAGCGGGAGCCGGUCCAGACAUCUUGUGUGGAAAAAAAUUCGGACUGGGCACGAGGCAGCCAUCUGCAGCUCCAGGCUUUCAGCAGCCAAACAUAGAAACACUUGAGCUACUGGAGGAAUCAACAGAAAUGUGUGCGUUACAUACUACUGCUUCCAGCACAGCUUCCUGUUGGGACAGGAAAUACAUCACAGUGAGGAAGUGAUGCAUGAGGCCCAACGUACCUGCAGAACCUUCUGUCAACAAAGUGAGUCCAACAUGAACGAUGUUUGUUUGUCCUGCAUUGGCUCAUUGUGAGCGUUUAACUGUGUUCAGUCCAUGUCCUUUAUUAAAUCUAUGUGAGAAACACGAACUGACUACAAAGACACAAAAUGACCACAAAGAGACACAACAUGACUACAAAGACACAAAAUGACCACAAAGAGACACAACAUGACUACAAAGACACAAAAUGACCACAAAGAGACACAACAUGACUACAAAGAGACACAAAGUGACUACAAAGAGAAACAAAAGGACUAAAAAAUGACACAAAAUGACUACAGAGACACAAAAUGACUACAAAGAGACACAAAAUGACUACAAAGAGACACAAAAUGACUACAGAGACACAAAAUGACUACAGAGACACAAAAUGACUACAAAGAGACACAAAAUGACUACAAAAUGACUACAAAGAGACACAAAAUGACUACAAAGAGACACAAAAUGACUACAAAGAGACACAAAGUGACUACAAAGAGAAACAAAAGGACUAAAAAAUGACACAAAAUGACUACAGAGACGCAAAAUGACUACAAAGAGACACAAAAUGACUACAAAGAGACACAAAAUGACUACAGAGACGCAAAAUGACUACAAAGAGACACAAAAUGACUACAGAGACACAAAAUGACUACAGACACAACAUGACUACAAAGAGACACAAAAUGACACUAAGAGACACAAAAUGACUACAAAGAGACACAAAGUGACUACAAAGAGACACAAAAUGACUACAGAGACACAAAAUGACUACAGAGACACAACAUGACUACAAAGAGACACAAAAUGACACUAAGAGACACAAACGACUACAAGAGACACAACAUGACUACAGAGAGACACAAAAUGACUACAAAGAGACACAAAAUGACACAAAAUGACUACAAAGAGACACAACAUGACUACAGAGACACAAAAUGACUACAAAGAGACACAAAAUGACACAAAAAGACACAAAAUGACUACAAAGAGACACAAAAUGACACAAAAUGACUACAAAGAGGCACAACAUGACUACAGAGACACAAAAUGACUACAAAGAGACACAAAAUGACUACAGAGACACAAAAUGACUACAAAGAGACACAAAGUGACUACAAAGAGACACAAAUGACUACAGAGACACAAAAUGACUACAGAGACACAACAUGACUACAAAGAGACACAAAAUGACACUAAGAGACACAAAAUGACUACAAAGAGACACAAAAUGACUACAAAGAGACACAACAUGACUACAAAGAGACACAAAAUGACACUAAGAGACACAAUAUGACUACAAGAGACACUAAUGACACUAAGAGACACAACAUGACUACAAAGAGACACAAC